rnacentral:lncRNA from 1 species
AGGACCUUGGUGCAGGACAUUUGCUUACCUUCCCAGGGCUGGUCCCUGGUCCUCACCACCCAGGAGAGCUGCCUGCUGCUGUCACUGCCUCAUCGGGUACACCUGUCAGCAGACAACUUUUGCGACCCCAGAAGACAUGGGCGCUCCCCCCACCAGUACGCCAGCAGCUGCAUGAGCAGCAGGCCAGCUGCACUUCCUGGAAUUGCUGAAUGCUGACACUGUCCACCCAGAGGAGCAACAGAGCCCGAGGGUUGAAAUCCUGCCCCAAGCCUCAAAAUAAAAAAUAGAAAGGGCUGGGGAUGUAGUUCAGUGGCAGAAUACCCCCAUGUUUGAUCCCCAGUACAGACAAUUCUUCUGUAACGACGGAGCUCCGUUCCUGCAACCAGGUCGCUAAAUGAAUUGGUAGCUAAAUGAAGCAUUGUAUUUAGCGCGUACAUCACAAUAUUCAGAACAAAGAAAU